AAAUAGGAAGUUCCGACUGGCUGGUCCAGACAUCCCCUUUUAUGUCCACUCUAGGGAUGUUGUACUUGACUGCUCUUGUGUUUCACAUCCCACAUUCCAGAACCUGUUGGUCUCCAGCCACCAUCAGCCCUAGACGCCAUGGCCAGUAGUCAAGGAUGAGAGGAGUUGAAGGCAAGCAAUAUCUGGAGGGCCACAGGCCCUCAGUGAUUUGGCUUCAGGAUAUCUUCUCCUGUAAAAGCCUUUUUUAUGAUUUGCAAAGGUGGCUUUUCUCUGCGCCAUGACAUUGACAGAGGCGUGGUUGGCUGGGAUCUCAGAGUGGACUUUCUCUGUAGCUGAUUUUUGAUUAUGGAACUCCAUAUUUCAAGAGGUGCUCCUGGACUAUCUCCUAACCUUCCGCUAUUUAGUUAAGACAUUUUUCUUACAGCAGACAUUUAACCUGCCAAGUUGUGGAAUUUCAGUGCUUUUUUAUCUGCUGUGUCUUGAGAUUAAUCAUUUGACUGUGCUGCUUUUAACUUGUUUUAAGCUUCCCUGAGCAAUGUGUUUACAUUGAAAGGACAGGGUAUAAAUCCUCUUAAAUAAAUAAUAGUUGUGUGAAUGGCUCCACUUGGAAGGCACAUUGCACUUGAGCUGACACUGGGUGAGAUGAAAUGUGGAGUGAUUUUAAUGCUGGCGUGGCUCAUUCACACAGGCAGCUCAGAUCACCACUUGACUCUUGAUUUGACAAUUAAUUACUGGCUGAUUAUGCAUCUGUAAAUUGCCUUUAAGGCACAUUGGUUUGCAUCCAACUGUGACUCGCAUUCAUGGAAGUCUUUGAUCCAGUGGAGAUUUCCAUGAACAGAAUGGGGAGGGAAUAAUUUUUUGCAAAUUCUCUUACAGCUCUGAUGCCACCUCCCAUGCUGUUCCACUGGGCUCCCCAAUCCACAGAUUUUGAAGCGAUAGAAGAGGGACUCAGUGAAGAUCACCUCUGUCCCCCUCCAUUCAUGGAAGCCUCCAUUGGAUCAAAGAGCUUUCUCUGAAUGGAAAGAAGCACUUGGAUAUGGCUCGUUGAUUUCAAUGGAAUUUAUUUUCAGGUAUGUAUGUUUCAGACUGCAGCUUAAGGCCCAAUAAAAGCUGGCUUUCCAAAGCCUUUAAGGUUUUGAUAUUCUGCUCCCAAACAGGAAUAAAAUGCAUUUAUUUGUCUAAUCAGUUUUACUGACAGUAGGUUUAAAGUUUCAUGGUGUAUAGUCAGGAAUGCAAACAUCGUUAGUCUGAAUUAGAAAAUAAAAAUCAAUUGCUUGUUAAAACUUUGAAUGGUACAACAGCAGAAAAUAAAGUAGGUAUGAUUAGUUCAGGGUUAAAGAGAAACACAAUUUGAAUGUCCAAGAUCCUGUUGUUUUCUAACCCGUUCCACAAAUCUAGGUCCCUGGCUCAUACUCUGAUGAACCAUUUAAAUUUGAAACCUGGAUUGCUGGUGUAAUUCCUGAGUUUUUAUUAAGAUAUGUGGUCUCCACUACACAUCAGUGGCAGCGGGGUUAGAAAGCCCCAACCCAUUAUGACAAAGGCAGGGGAAACUGUGACCCUCAAGUUGCUGCUGAAUUCCCAUCUUCUCUGAUCAUUGCACAUGCUAGUUGAGAGCUGGUGGGAGUUGGAGUCCAAACAAUAUUCUUCUAUUAAACAUAAUCAUUACUGCACUGUUUACUUCCAGGGAUGUGGAGAGGCACUUGUGGAAUUUUCUGCCUCAGGAGCCAAAAAAAUACAACUAGCAUUGGGUGCUCUGCAUCUUGAUUUGUGGGGCAGGAGUUUGCUGUUUUGCCUUUGGCAACAAAAUGUCUUGAACCAGCUCUGAUGCCUAACUAUGCAGAGGAUCAGGCUGUGAGGUUGGAAAGUUACCUUGUUAGUGACCUUCAGCCAAAAACCCAAGAGUUUUCUAUGGGCCAAAGCCCUGCCUUUUGCUGAAGCAGCUGUAAUAUUUCAAAGCACAGUGUCAAUUAAUACAAUAUUUGUCAAAGGAAGAUUUGUUACAAAGACCAUGGAAGCGGGUUCAGGGAGAGAACAUUAAGUCCUGAAAGCAAAUCUCUCCCCACCUUCUGCCCCAUUCAGCCUGGUAUUUGUUCUCAUCACUAGCGUAUUAUUUUCCAUUAGAAGAUUACAGACGACAUAAGAUGGUAAUAAAAGAAACGGAUGCAUUGUUAUGCGUCUGACAGUGAACAUUUAGCUAAAUGGAUUCCUUUAUAUUGUCAGUGUUUUUCUUCAUAUUACAGAAACGGAUGCUUUCAAUUUAAACAGUGGUGUUUCUGUCUACCCUGUUUUUAAGCUGCAGCACUUUCUAAACCUGAAAUAAAUAAAAAUAAAUAAAUAAGGAACACAUACCCACACUCAAUCUCACAGAUACUUCUUUUUCCCACCAUAUGUAUGAAUAUUUUCAAGGAUUGUAUGAAAUGUAUGUUUGUAUGUUCGUAACAUAUAUGUAUUAAUGUUGAAUUAUUUUAAUAAGAUUUUUUUUUUUUAAAAAAAGGAACACAUCACUCUCAGACCAGAAAAAAAGUUGAAGUACGUUAAGUGUAAGAACUACCCCCUGCAUUUCUUUCUGUGUGAUUUAUUGACGGGAGCAGGUACCAGGAGCAGAUUACCAAUAACUCACACGGGUUCAAUGAAGUUAACUCUUCAUUCAAAGAAACAAGACAGCUCAGGAAGCCAGGCCUAGAGAGUACCACAAUUCUUCCCAGGAGAACUUGCCCCUAGGAGGCAGUUGUGAGGACGGAAGGUCCCCAACUUCCCACAGCUCCCUAAGUCUCCUCCUCCCCCAGCUCCUUCCUAAGCAAUCUGAGACUCAUUUAUCAUGUCUGUCUUUGCUCCACCCUCUUCAUACCUCUGUGGGUUCUGGGAGACCAGAGAGGAGAGGAGCUGGUUGCCACAGGACAGGGAGACACCCUGGCUGCCUCUUAGCACCCUCUCUCCUUUCCAGCCUUCUCUUCUACCUCUGGUUCUGGGCUGUUCUUUGCUACAGACUCUUCAUGCUCAUUGAACCCUGUUACCACUUCAAACUUAAAGAGGCUGAGAUCCAUAAACCCAGUUUUUCCAGAGGAUACUUGGGCCCCAGCAUCAUGAACAGUGGAUCAGGGCCUCUGGAGCUUUGAGUCAGGACCUCCAAAGUACCCAUGUCCCUAGGUUGAUCCAGCAAUGCAGAUGAAGGGAGUUGUUUCAGGCUCCAAAAAGGAGUCCUGUCUUUUAAAGGCUUUUCUCAAGGUACAUUCCUGGGAGAGGGGAGGGGAGAGGAGGUCAGCUACCACCUGGAGGAGGGGUAGUGCCACCAUCAUCAGCGGAUGUAGCCUGCUGUAUGGAGGUAUGGGUCACAUGAUUCCUCCACCCCACCCAUCCCUUUCAUGCAGCCCCCAGGAGAUUGCUAAUAAGGUAAUAUGGCCGUUGAGCUGCGAAAGGUUCCCUACCCAGAAAAUUCUGGAAAGAAAGUGAAUACUUUCUGUUGUUGCUUCUUUAAAAAGGCACCAUAAUCCAUGCAUUCAGUAAAGAAACAGUGAAUUAAAAUUGUCCACAACACAGAUUUCCAUUAUGAAGCAAUGGAAGAGUAUCUAGCACAGCAGGACUGUAAUCUUGUCAGCGGCCUCUAGAUACUACUGUAAUUUGUCUAAUAAUAUUAUAUUGUUAUCAAGACUUAGCUUCUUCAGGAAACGGUCUGAAGAACAAAGAGGAUGUUUUGUCUAGUCCACAAAUGUAAACCCAGCACAGUAAUUUGAUAUCUCUUCCUAUCACAAUGUUACCUUCAAUACUGAGCAUUCUCUACAAUAUUAGUAUUAUGGCCGGGUUCAAUUUAUUACUUUGGUUUGUUGCUUAAGGUUUCUUUCACUUACAGGGCCAGUUCUUUAUUUACUUUCGCUUGCCAUUUGAACAAAUUAGAAAAUGACUGCUAAUACUAAUUUGCAGUCAUGCUGUAAAAUACUAAUAAGAAAAGAAUUGUGCACAUUGAACCACCCCAUUUCCCUGCAUUGUGUAACUGUUUGCUUCCCCACUAUUAUUCAACGAAGUCUACAAACAGUAGAUAUGGCUGAAAUGAAAUUGUUUGUUGUGUCCCCUAUGGGUCUGUGUGGGUGCUAAUUCUUUUUCAUUGCAACUUUAUUACUGUGUUGCUCCCCACUUAUCAGGUAAUAAAAUUGGGCUGUGUGCAAUAAUGUGCAAAUGAGCACAUUUAAUUUUUUAUCACUUUCUUUAGGAUUGUCUUAUUGUCACUACUUAAUUGUUUGCCACAAAUUCAGUACAUCAAGCAAUAGCUAUGGGAUGUGAUUCACUAGGAAUUUAUCUUGAGCAAUUUAAACUCAUUUCUUAUGUUUAUGUCAUGAUGUAGCUCCCCCAGUGGGGCUUUUUCAGGUCAGGAAGUGCUGCAUUACAAAAUUCAAAUAAGUGAAAAUUUUGAAGGGCAGCUGUGUUUUGGCUGAGGAAGUAUGAAUUAGGUAGGUUCAAAUUUAAAUGUCAAGCAAAUAAAUCUUUCCUCUUUCCCUACCUCUAGCAGCUGCCAUACCAUAAUACUGAAAAUAAUAUAUUUUCCUACAUAGCCACAUAUGAUUAGGCUAUAAACUUAUUUGUAUGUACUAAUCUGUAUUUAAGAGUUCAAGAACUCACUUGUAAAUUCAAUUUCAAAUAUGAGGAAUGCAGUGUGAUACAUUUGACCCUGAUAAGAACAUGCAUUGAAACAGAAGUGUGUAUAAAGAGUGUUAAUGGAAUAGAUUGUCCCAAGGCAUUAGGAGAAUAAUGUGUUUACUCAUUCAUUAUGCUCUGAAGAAAAAAAAAGCCACCAGUGAUUUGUCGACCUAAUUUUUGGUGGGGGUAUGUGAGCACCUGAUUGUCAGAACACCAAAUAAUUUGGAUGCUUCUCUUCAACAGAUAGCCCAGGUGAAGCUUAAAUAUCUUUUAUAUAUCCCACCAAAGUUGCAGGCUUACCGCAAGUAUGCAGACAAACAGGUUGGAUGGUGUCUUGUACACCUCUUUCCGGCAGCUCCUUCAGCCAAGCUGGUACCAAACGUAUUGCUCUGCUUUCCUUUGGACCACAUUGCCAAGGCCAAAGGGGUGUGUGUGUCUUGUUGUCUGGGCAUCUCAGGACCUCUAUACAUGCUGCCCAGACUUCCACCCCAGGGAGGUCACUUUGGUGCUGCUAAGUCACAGUUUGACUUCACCCCCAGUGGUGCACUCAGUUGUCUUGAGACAGACAGAUGCCAGCAAUGCUGAAUAGGGAUAAUGUAAGCAGUACAGCAGCCUAGUCUGAAUCUGGUCUCCAUUACCAUUAUACUCUUGAGAUUUAAUGAGUCAUCAGAUAUUGUGAUCAGAUGAGAUGAUCAAGGCACUGACAAAAAAAAUGUUCCUUGGAUAUGAACAUGAAUGUGUAGCUUCUGCCAUAUCCAUAACACAUAAACAGUGCAAUCAUAUUCAUGUUUAUCCAGAAUCAUGUACCAUUAUGUUCAAUGGGCUUGCUUACUAGAUAGUGUGUUUAGGAUUGCAGCCAAAGCUCUCUGAAAGCAACAAUCCUAAUAAUUUACUACAGGAAAGCAGAUACAAGAAGGUGAGGAGUCCAACCUCAGUGUGAUGUCAGUGAAGCUCCUGCAUUUAAGUCAUAAAUCAGUUUAACGUCUGUUGAAAUGAAAGGUUGUUACAUAAAGGCAAGGCUCUUGGGAGCAAGAGGGUUUACAAACUGACAGGGCAACAAUUUAUUGUUGUGUUGGCAGACACUGCUAUAACUGUGCUGACAAAGUAAAAGUGCCCAAAGUUAAUAAAAUCAGGAAGGCUCUGCAAAUGUUAUAUUGCUUCUCUAUCAUAUAUAGCUAUAUGAAAGUUCAUGGCAUAAUGUUUUCAUGCAAACACUGAGAACUCCAAGGCUGUAACUUUCUUUUAUCAGCUUCAAGCAUAUGACAGAAAUAAAUGGAAAUCUAGACUGAAGCUUUCUCUUUCACAAUCAAAAUGGAGGAAGAAGUCUCACUGGGUUUAAGACCAAUGAGAACAGAAGAAGUUCCCUGAUGGAUCAGACUAGUGGUCGAUCUGUUCCUGCAUCCUGCUCACGGUGACCAACCUGAUUCCUCUGGGAAGUCCUCAAGAAGGGAUUGCUAGAAAUAGCCCUCUCCACUGAUAUUUCAUCUGGUAUUCAAUGGCAUAUGGAAUCUGAAUUGGAGGUUCCAUGUAACCAUCAUGAGAGUAGUAUCCUCCGUGAAAUAGGUCCCAGUUGUUGUUUGUUGUUGUUGUUUAGUCAUUUAGUCGUGUCCGACUCUUCGUGACCCCAUGGACCAGAGCAUGCCAGGCACUCCUGUCUUCCACUGCCUCCCGCAGUUUGGUCAAACUCAUGCUAGUAGCUUUGAGAACACUAUCAAACCAUCUUGUCCUCUGUCGUCCCCUUCUCCUUGUGCCCUCCAUCUUUCCCAACAUCAGGGUCUUUUCCAGGGAGUCUUCUCUUCUCAUGAGGUGGCCAAAGUAUUGGAGCCUCAGCUUCAUGAUCUGUCCUUCCAGUGAGCACUCAGGGCUGAUUUCCUUGAGAAUGGAUAGGUUUGAUCUUCUUGCAGUCCAUGGGACUCUCAAGAGUCUCCUCCAGCAUCAUAAUUCAAAAGCAUCAAUUCUUCGGCGAUCAGCCUUCUUUAUGGUCCAGCUCUCACUUCCAUACAUCACUACUGGGAAAACCAUGGCUUUUACUAUACGGACCUUUGUUGGCAAGGUGAUGUCUCUGCUUUUUAAGAUGCUGUCUAGGUUUGUCAUUGCUUUUCUCCCAAGAAGCAGGCAUCUUUUAAUUUCGUGACUGUUGUCACCAUCUGCAGUGAUCAUGGAGCCCAAGAAAGUAAAAUCUCUCACUGCCUCUAUUUCUUCCCCUUCUAUUUGCCAGGAGGUGAUGGGACCAGUCUGUACUAUAGCUUUAAAACAGCACUAUCCCACUUUAAACAGCCAUGGCUUCCUAUUGGAUCCUAUUAGCACCCUGAGCCUGACUAUUCUUCACAAAGCAAUGGUUUUCCCUCCUCAGUAGGACUAUGAAAUGUUUCUACAGUAUGUUCCCAUGAAAUAGGUUGCAUUGGACUGUCAAGCAAGUCCAGCUUUGGACCAAGCUUCAGUUUGAAUCCAUUGCUGUCUAUGUUCUUGAGGACCCAAAAGUGACUGUGGAGGAUAAAAAAAAAUCAGAUGGUGAAUAUAAGUGAAACUCGUCAGUUGCUCCAGGUAGUUCCCUGGAUGGGGCAUUGCACUGGAAUAUGGACUCAGGGGUUUCCUUCAGGCAGUGCAGCAGUUUAUUUAUAUAGAUAAUUUCAAAAUAUAACCUGGCAAUUUCCCUUUUAUGAAGCUGGGAGGACAAGUUAAAUGAGGGUCAGACACAGUAGAAUGCAAAAACCGAAGUUGGCUUAUAUGCUGCUCAUCAUUUUUGCCUGGAAAAUGUAUUUAAGAAUACAUUAACUUGGUGGUCCAAGAAAGGAUCAAUAGCAUUAGAGUAUAAAAAGCAGCAAUUCCACCUCCCUGCCCAGUUCCAAAGUAGACCCUGAAAUGUAAUAUUUUUAGUCAUAAAAACAAUGUUUUUAAUAAGCAAACUCCCACUCAGUUCUGUCUUUUGAUAUUAGAAACCAGAUGACUUCAGGAGAAAAAAACCUGCUGUCUCCAUAAAAGUUUACAAGCUAUGGAAAUAUAUUUGGAUUCUAAGCCAAAGCAGUAACAACUGCAAUGAUAAUACUCUACCCAUGGCUGCCCUUGCAAACUGUUACUUCCCUUAACUGAUCAGUGCUGCAGUUAUGGAGUAAUUGGACUGACUUAUUUAAAUUUAUAAAGCAGCAAAGUACAUCCCCAACUAUGUUCCAGGGAUCUUCAGUUGAUUGAAAAUGGCACGUUAUCAAAUGUAAAUGAGUGCUGGAUAUUGAAACAAGAAAUAUCUCUGUAAACCCAACACCAUCUGUUACUGUAUCACCACAAUUUUCUUAAAAAGUUGAGAUCCUUUUCUGAGGACAGGAAACGCAGGAAUGACCAGUAUUGCAUGGAUCUGUUUUGCAUCCUUUCUCAGCAUGUGGUAGCCAUGGUUUUUUAGUCCUUUGAAUUAACUUCUAGCUGCUGAUGCCACAUGUUGAGCCAAUCAUACAAAAAAACAAAACAAAACGUGCAUAUCCUGGUCUUGCCUCAGCAUGCAGAAAGCCAAACAGCAAGAAGUUUUUUCUUGGCUUUAGCAUUCACUUUGCCCCUUCAGCAUCAAACCCUGCUGUUUCAGUGAUUUCCAGUCACUGGUGGCAAACAUGGACUGUAGGUCUGACAUCAGUACCCAGCAAUCUCAGACAGCUCCAUUGGUCAAAAGACCCAUGGCCCCUCUGUUUACCCAGUCUGCAAGCUGCAGUCUUAACUUGUCAGUUAACCGCAUUGCAAAUGUUUCCACAAUGCCCCAGAGGACCUGACAUUGCAUCACUCCGGGGCAUUGUGGGGGGAAUUAAAAUAGCAGGUGGCUAUUUGUUCUGGGGUUUUCCCCAACUCUCUGUGGCAUUUAUAUAUUACCUUUCUUCCAAGAAGCCCAAGGAGGCACACACAGGUCCCUUCCUCCUGUGAGGUAAGUUAGCCUGAGAGGCAUAGACUGGUCUAAUGUCACCAAGAGUCCGGUUUAGCAUUUUUCUUACACAAGACACAACAUGCUGGCAGUUUAACUAGUCGAGGUUUAUUGGCAAUAACAGGCCUUCAGCAAACUGAGCUUCCCACAACUCAUUCCUCACUGUCGGAGUCAGUUGACUCAACUGGCUUCAUGCCCUUCCCAAGGCCAGAUAUACCCCAGGCCCUCCCCCACGUCCUACUGGUCUUCCUUUGCUCUAAUCACUUGCUCUGCCUCCUACUUUUUGGAGACUCAGGUGCAGCCAAUUCCUCCUCCUCAGGAGUAGAAUCCAAUUCCCUCCUACCACCUGCACCCUGCUCCUUCAUCUCUGUGCUGCUGCAAAAACUUACAAGCGAGAGGGGCUUAUCUCACUUUUGUUGUGUGAAAGAAUCAAGUUUCUAUUUUCCUCUGCCUCUUCUUUCCCCUCUGCAGAUUCCUCUCUGCUGGCCAUGUCUCUGACACCCAGUUAGCUUCAUGGGUAAGUGGGGAUUUGAACCCUGACUUCCCUGGUCUUAGUCCAACAAUGUAUAAACUGUCUUCCAGUUGAAAAUGUUGUGGCAGUGUACAAAAAAAAAUGGGGGGGGGGAGGAAAAAAAUGAACAAUUUUUUUAAAAAUAAUAAGAAUAUAUUCAAUGCACCUGAAAAAGAAACAUGAGCAAUAUUGAACUAUGCUACUCUGAAAAAGCCUGAGUAAGAAAUUCUAAAGGAGGUGCCUAAAAGAACAAAAUAUUGGCACUAUCCUAAUCUCCACGCAGAGUGUAUUCCAAUAUUUAUUUUAAAUGCUGGCUCUCAGAUACAUUCUACACACCACAAUUUUUGGAAAUUCAAUUCCUGAUUUGAGGAAAGAAUGACUGGUUACCAAUGUGGCAGAUGCACAAAGAGCCCUGGCCAUGGCCAAUAUUCAAUUGUAAUAUAACACAAAGGUCAACAAUGUGGUGCCCAUGGGAUCCUGUGUGCCUGCCAGUACAUUCUGUGGAAGUUGUGAAAGGUUUCCUACCUUCGUUCUUCUGUUCUGAACUGAGGAGAGACGCGAGUGUGGUUGAUGCAGAUGCCUUUCUCCUCAUUUCAUUGCAGGGCGGUGGAUUUAGAUGGUGGACAUGUCUGCACCAUUUUGUGGUCUCUUUUUACCACUCUUUUAGAUGUGGCAGCACUUUUGUGGGUUAUUCUAUGCCCUCAUGGCAGCCAUUUUGUGACUGGUGCCCACAGUCCUUUUUCAAAAUUCCAAAUACCCACUGGCACCAGCAGGUUGUUGGUUUCUUGUUUAUCGGUAUGACAUUGCUACUGAAAUCAUUCUGGGAGAUCUGCCCCAUAUUGGUUUUCUUUGAGCCUUUAUUUGGAGGUUUGUUUCAAUAGUCUUUAAAAUAUGGUGGCUGACACCCAUGUCUGAUCGCUGUCAAGCAGAAGACCAAUAUGAAUGAGGUGCUUUGUCUCCCUGCUGUGUGUUUCCCCUUAACCCACCUCUGACACACCACUUUCCCCCUCCCCCCUUUCAAGAGGACCACAUUGCAAACUCAUAUUUUCCUUGGCUUUUUAGGUAAUUGUUCUAUAAGGGUAUCAAAUACCAAUCACUUUUGAGAUGUAGACAUUGGUGGUUUGCUCAAGAACACAAAGCAUUCACGACAUCCCAUCUUUGUGUGUGAGGAAAUGCCGUAAGAUUUCUUCAGUUAUAAAUUUGUUAUUACUUGUUUUGACACUUUCCCAUGAGAAUGAGUAAAGAUGAGUUAACUCAGUCAUGAGAGUGUUCUAGCUCUAUGGCUUUAGAAGGUCUAUUAGUUUAGAAAUACUGUAUGAUCUGUUAUUAAAUGUUUUAGGUGAUAUUUAACUGCAUUCCUGUAAUCCGCUGCACCCCCCCCCCAUUUCCAUAGAAACCAUUACCUGCUAUGCAGCCAAGAAACAGGUUUAUUGAACAAGCAGGGCUUACAAUGAGCCAUACAGACUCAGUUCACCAUGCUGUUCCUGUUGCCUUAGUCCAGGCUUCCUCAAACUCGCCCCUCCAGAUGUUUUUGGCCUACAACUCCCAUGAUCCUUAGCUAGCAGUACCAAUGAUCAGGGAUGAUGGGAAUUGUAAUCUCAAAACAUCUGGAGGGCCUAGUUUGAGGAAGCCUGCCUUAGUCCUUCCUUCCCUCAAAGCAUUUAUUCCCCCCCCCCCAGCUUAAAAAAGCUCUCAAGAGUGGUUUACAAAAUCAGUACCAGUAAGUUGCAAGUGACAUGCAUUGAACUUGUAAGGGGGCAGGUGUCUGGGAAAAUUUUUUUGGCAACCCCACCCAUCAUUGCACCCAAGGUGUUUUGACUAUACACAAUUUUGGCUUUGUGCACUAUCCACAGCAUGGAAGUUGACAGUUGCCUGCACUAAGACAGACCCAGCUCUCUGGCUCACAAUCUAAACAGGCAUGACACAUGAGGAGAAGGGAAAGGGAAGGAGGAGGAAAAAAGCAAGCCCAAACGCAAGUUCUUCAGCUUACAAGUUCAGUCCUUGUGUACAAACCAUGCUAAGGUGCCAACUCUUACAGGCUAUUGGGAAAUAUACUUAUUGUUAAACACAUAUGAGCAAGAAGCAACAUAAUCACCAUGAUAUGCCUUAUAUUUAAAUGUUCUCAUGUGAACCAGGACAGAACUGCUGGUUUUGGUGUGCUGAACCAUUUGUCAGACUUUUACUGUCCUGAACUGGAACCAAACUAGAACUCAGUUCCAGCUGGACCUGAACUCAAAUUGAACUAAAUAACUAAUGGUUUUACUCAAUGGCUCAUACCUGCUAAAAAUACUAAAGGCUGGGAUUGCACUCACAUUUACUCAGGAGUAAAUCCCUUUGAAUUUAGUGGGACUUCCUUCAGAAUAAGCUUCAUGACAUAAGUGUUGUAUGAAUAUUUUAAAAAAAGGUUUCCCAUUAGUUUGUGAUACUCUGAUGAUGACAAAAAAUAUAACUGUUGAGGCAACUUUAGCUUUAUAAAACUUAGCAGUUGUAAAGCUGUUUGCUUAGCUUAGGCUUAAAAUAUCAGAAUGACAAAAAACAGAGAAAUGUGGAAGAACGUACACACUCAUGCUGAUCUUAGUAAUCUUAUAUAACUCAUUUUUUUCUUCACAGGCAUGGAUAACAUCUUGAAUCUGCACGUGAUGUUCCCCCCAUGCCUAACCCAAAGGAGAGCUUUUUCUCUCUACAUAGUUGGCACUAAGAUGUUCAUUUCAUAUAAUAUGGGCUUUUGCCCAUGCCAUGGAAGAUAAACAUCGCCUAGGUGUUACUUGAUAAAUUGAUAGUAAAGUCUGGAUGCACCAAUU